AUUCAGCUGACGAGUCCCAAAUAAAACGAAACGCGCGUCCUAAAU
rnacentral:hammerhead_ribozyme from 1 species